rnacentral:lncRNA from 1 species
AGAUUGCAAGAAAGCUCACAGCAGUGAACUGUAACAAAUGGGAACCUUGAUUUCAAUAGCAUCACAUUCUUGGGAUGCAUGGAUACAGUGAAGUCUUCCAUGGAGAUUUUGAACUCCAAAGCCUCGCAUCUUCCUUGGAGGUGCUGCAAUCAAAGGUCAGCUCUGCUCUGGUCCAGACUCUGUGGUUCAGCGCUGGAGAGGGCCGAGGUCACACAUUAUAUUAUCAAGGAAGCAGGGCUGCCUGAGUGCAGCACCACAGAGAGCUACAAAUUGAGAGAAACAAACAUUUCAGAGAAAACAGACCUCCAGAGCUUUGGAAAGAGCAAAGAAUUGACAAUUUGAAGGGCUUCAAGUAUGCCAAGUGGCCAUCAUAAUGCACUUCACAUUUCAAAAGGGAAAAAACAAAUCAAGAUUUGAAGACUUUACAGAGUCUUUUGUUUACUGAGUAUGUUUCAUCGUGUGUUGGAUGUAAUUAUUGUUAUAAUUCAUUUUUAAGAGCAACUUACUUAUCUGUCAUUGAAAUGUAUAAUUUAUAAUAAAAAGACUAGUUAACUCA